CACCGCUAUCAUGCUCGUGAAAAUUUCUUCCCAAACUUUUCUUUUAGGAUUCCUGGUAACCUUGAGUAUGGCUUUCUCUCAUGGUAAGAUUGAAUGUGAGGAAGAAUUCAAAAACAGUGUGCUUAACGGGACGGUGACCGAAUACGGAGAUCUGCUCACUUCUGACGGAAGAAUUUACAAAAACGGCACAUUCUGGUACGAAUACAACUGGUGGUGGAUCUGUCCGUGCCUGAUGCCUGGACCUUGUAUAAGGACAUGUGCUAAGGCCCCAAGAAACGAAACACUAUUAAUCGAGAUUUGGGAUGGCAUUAACUCUACAUCAGUUGGCCUUACGGAUCAUUUCAAUGUUGUUUAUGAUGCAUUUUGUCUCGACAAGACAGCUCUUGUUGGACCAGAAGCUAAUAAUUCCUACGAAUUUUCAUCUAAUGGUACCUUAGUGAUAAUCUACGAUGAUGAAACCAAUGUAUCAAUCCAUCCUGAAUUUUACUGUGUUGAUUUCACGGUAGUGCCCCAGAAUUUGAGAUGAGCAGGAGUACAGCUUUUAUAUUUUGCAAUAUUUUCCAGGAGGAACUUCAAUUGACUGCAUAUGAAUGCUAUGACUUCCGAAAUGAAAAUAAAGAUAUUUGGGUCGAUGUUUUUUUCAUUACAAACAUGUUUUUCACAGUCCUAGCGUUUUUAGCAUAUCAAUUUUUACCUGAAACAAAAACAUUGCACACCCAGGCAAUUUGUGGCUACACAUCAAGCUACUUCGUUCUCUUCCUGACCUCUAUUUUCGAUUUUCUUUACGAAUUGUCGGAAGAAUUUAUGUUCCUCACAAGUAAAGAGUUAAGAUAGCAACGGCCAGUCAAACUAAUAAUUUAAAAUUUUCACAGAACUUAUUUCACCGUGUGCUUUGCUUUCAUCAUUUUUAUGGUUAACUGUGAUGUGUUUCGAUAUUUACACUACUUUCAGGUCAUUCAAGCCAAAAAGAUGCAGCAUUAAAUUUUGGCAAGCAUCUGCCUUCGCAUGGGGAAGUCCAGUAGUGGCAUAUGCCUCCUGCAUUUUGUGGAAUUUUCUCUCACUGGUAUUAACGUCGGAAGCCGAAAGAGCCACAAGGUUAAAUG